rnacentral:ncRNA from 1 species
AAAGCAGGGCCUCCCGCCCCUUGUGGCUUUUGGGGUUUUGAGGAGGAGGUGUCAAAAAGGUACCACAGGGAUAACUGUCUUGUGGCAGCCAAGCGUUCAUAGCGACGCUGCUUUUUGAUCCUUCGAUGUCGGCUCUUCCUAUCAUUGUGAAACAGACUUCCCCAAGCGUUGGAUUGUUCACCCAGUAAUAGGGAACAUGAGCUGGGUUUAGAUGGUCGCAAAACAGGUUAGUUUUACCCUACUGAUG